UCCCGUGUGGCUCAGUUGGUAGAGCAUGGUGUUUGCAACGCCAGGGGUCUGUGUUCGAUUCCCACGGGGG
rnacentral:tRNA from 1 species